AGAACGAACGCUGGCGGCAUGCCUAAUACAUGCAAGUCGAACGAACACUUCGGUGUUAGUGGCGCACGGGUGCGUAACGCGUGGGAAUCUGCCCUUGGGUUCGGAAUAACAGUUGGAAACGACUGCUAAUACCGGAUGAUAUCGAAAGAUCAAAGAUUUAUCGCCCAGGGAUGAGCCCGCGUAGGAUUAGCUAGUUGGUGAGGUAAAGGCUCACCAAGGCGACGAUCCUUAGCUGGUCUGAGAGGAUGAUCAGCCACACUGGGACUGAGACACGGCCCAGACUCCUACGGGAGGCAGCAGUAGGGAAUAUUGGACAAUGGGCGCAAGCCUGAUCCAGCAAUGCCGCGUGAGUGAUGAAGCCUUAGGGUUGUAAAGCUCUUUACCCGAGAUGAAUAAUGACAGUAUCGGGAGAAUAAAGCCCCGGCUAACUCCGUGCCAAGCAGCCGC
rnacentral:rRNA from 1 species